rnacentral:rRNA from 1 species
GACGAACGCUGGCGGCGUGCUUAACACAUGCAAGUCGAGCGGUAAGGCCCUUUCGGGGGUACGACGAGCGGCGAACGGGUGAGUAACACGUGGGUGACCUGCCCUCAGCUCUGGGAUAAGCCUGGGAAACCGGGGUCUAAUACCGGAUAUGACUCCAUGACGCAUGUUGUGGGGUGGAAAGCCUUGUGCGGCUGAGGAUGGGCCCGCGGCCUAUCAGCUUGUUGGUGGGGUGAUGGCCUACCAAGGCGACGACGGGUAGCCGGCCUGAGAGGGCGACCGGCCACACUGGGACUGAGACACGGCCCAGACUCCUACGGGAGGCAGCAGUGGGGAAUCUUGCGCAAUGGGCGAAAGCCUGACGCAGCGACGCCGCGUGAGGGAUGACGGCCUGGUGUAAC